ACACGUAUUGAAAUGCCCUGGGGUGACUCAUGGGCUCUCAAGAGAGGCAACAGUCAGACCACAAGAAGGACUAGGAAGAGGAAGUGGCCAGGGACGGGAUCUAGGCUGGAAGAACCAAGGGGGCAGUCUCCCCAGCACCUCUGUCAGGCCGGGUGACUCCAAAUGGGUCCGGAUCCUACCGGCUCCCCUCAAGGAAGUAGGCUUCCAAUUGGCCUAACUUGGGUCAUGUGCUCCCCAGCCAGGUGCAUCUUGAAUGACAGGCAAGGACCCCAUGCGAUAGGGGAUGGGCUGGUCCCUGGAGAAAAAAAGGAGGUUUGCUACCAAAAUAACGAAGCCACCUGCUGGUGGGGCAGAAACCGCAGGACUGUUCACAGGUUUUGCUUUGAUUUUUUUCAGUAUUAGAAAGAGAGUUAGGAAAGCCUACUUGGCUAUUCCUCUUCUUCCCUCUCCUCCGGCCCCUUAGAGCCAACUCCUGGAAUGUCUCUCGGUGGCAAAGUCACUUGGCGGUUCCCCAAGGCCCCAUUCCCUCCCCCCCCCCCCCCCCGUUGGGCUCAUGUUGCUGUCCCUGUCUCCUGCCACCUGCGUUCUUGUCUUCUUGCAUCAUGGCUGGGAGCAAGCUGUAAAAAUGAGCAUUUUAAAAUUCAUCCUCCAGGAGGGCCCUUGCAGGUGGAGAAAUAUCACCCGUUUGGCAACUUAACGCCAUUCCGGGGAUAAAAAUAAGUAAGACCCAAGGUAGGCUGCGAGGAGAGAGACAUUAAGGGAUGAGUCAUCUUCAUCGAAGGAGGAGCCACAGAAGCCCGGUUCUGGAACCACUCCCGGGGGCAGACCCUCCUUUCCUGGCAAGGGUCCGCGUGCUCCCGGCCUCUUUUGCAGCCUCGUCUGAUGGAACCACCUUUUGCACCUGUUUUCUUCACAGAUGGGCUUGAUGCUGGUUCCUGUCCGGAAAACUUCAUUAGCACCUGGCUCCAGGCACUGAGGUCUGCAGAGCACCGCACUGCUGAGAAGCGGGACAUUUCCUCCUCCAGAUGCUUCCUUUUAGAUGACUGCAUCUGUUUAGACGCUUUGUGCAUCCCGUUGUGUCUUUGGCGAUUUGCAAAGUUCAAAAACCAAAUGCACUGGAAAGAAAAGCAGAAACAGAAAAUCCAAUUUAAAGGCGGCAAAGCAAAAAGAGAAAAUCCGAUUUAAAGGCGGUAUCCUUGAGACCCACAAUGUGAAUCUCAGCUCUGUCCCCUCUGCUUUGGGGAGGGGACCGAAGGGGAGAUGGGGAGGAGCCAGCUCCUCCCUGCUACCCCACUGGGGCUCUGUCCUUGGAAAUAUGCUCGUUGAUUAUGUAGCACAGAGACGCUCAGCCCUCUGUGACUAAAGCUUAAUCACAUGGUAAUGGGGGGGGGGGCUGAUGCUGGUUUUUUUGUAUCUAAAAAUAUCUGGUUGGUUCCCUAUACUUGGAACAAUAUUUUGAUCCUGCUCCUCCUGUCUCUUAAGACAGAGCUUUUUAAACUUGAAUGUGCACCUGAAUCACCUGGGGAUCUUGUUAAAAUGCAGAUUCAUAUUCAGCGGCUCAGGCGCGGAGCCCAAGAUACCGCGCUUCUAACAAGGCCCCAGGAGAUGCUGUCCUGAGACCACACCGAGUAGCAAGGUCUCCCCUAAUGGCCUCUCUUCCGGUUUCUGCCCUUUAUCUGCAUCCAUGGAGUUGUCACCUCUCCAGAGUAGAGGGGCUCAGGUGUUGGGAUGGCUUCGAGAGGUACCUUGGCUACAGAGGAAGCUAUCACCUGCAUCAGUGGCUCCCCGCCCCCUCCAGGACGGGUCUGGACAACACCAGAGCCGGCUUGCUUGUGGCUUAGGACAAUGCCGUCCAGUAGAACUUGCUACGAUGUUGGAAAUCUUCCAGAUCUGUGCUGUCCAACAGGGUGGCCACAGAUCCGUGUACAUUAGAUCAAGUUGAAGAUAAGCAAGGCAGAACGGGAGAGGGCGAGCAGAGACGGAAACAGAGGACCUGGGUUCAGCUGUACCCUGCCCUUUCCCUGGGCUGUAUGACCUUGGGCAAGCCCCUUAACUCUCUGAGCCUCCGCCUGCCUCUAUCGAAAGGGAGGGUGAUUACGAGGGUUAAUCGAGCUCCCCAGCGUAGUAACUCAAUACAUAGAGUGACGAUCGUUGCCGCUAUUAUGUGAAGGCUCUCUGUAAACUAGAAAACGCUGCUGUCAAAAAUUCUCCUUUUUAAACAAAAUGCUCUGAAACUUGGAGGGAACUGCAUCAACCAGGCCCAGGAGACAAACCAAAAUCUCAAAGCAAUAAAUCUGAACAUUUUCCA